rnacentral:lncRNA from 1 species
AUUUAUUUUUCCAUGUCUAUGAUUGAUGGUGUAAACACAAUAGUAGACAUGCAUACCAACACCCAUCUCACAAUCACCCUCGACAAAAUUCUACAGCCAUGUUUUUUUUUACUAAAAAAGCAAGCAUACAAAAAAAAAUCUGUAUUUAAAACUUUGUAGAAAUCAAAAACAUUCAUACAUAUAAUCAUUUUUUCAAAUCCAAGAAAUUUAAAAUUCUAAAAUAUUUCACACAAUGAAAUUUUUCUACUAAAUCUGACAGCAGUUAUGAAGC